AUUGAACGCUGGCGGCAGGCCUAACACAUGCAAGUCGAACGAGUGGCGGACGGGUGAGUAAUGUCUGGGAAACUGCCUGAUGGAGGGGGAUAACUACUGGAAACGGUACCUAUUACCGCAUACCAUCGGAUGUGCCCAGAUGGGAUUAGCUAGUAGGUGGGGUAACGGCUCACCUAGGCGACGACCCCUAGCUGGUCUGAGAGGAUGACCAGCCACACUGGAACAGAGCCACGGUCCAGACUCCUACGGGAGGCAGCAGUGGGGAAUGUUGCACAAUGGGAGAAAGCCUGAUGCAGCCAUGCCGCGGAUAUGAAGAAGGCCUUCGGGUGGUAAAGUACUUGCAGCGGGGAGGCGUUACCCGCAGAAGAAGCACCGGCUAACUCCGUGCCAGCAGCCGCGGUAAUAC
rnacentral:rRNA from 1 species